CGCGGGGUGGAGCAGUUCGGUAGCUCGUCGGGCUCAUAACCCGGAGGUCGCUGGUUCAAAUCCAGCCCCCGCAACCA
rnacentral:tRNA from 1 species